rnacentral:lncRNA from 1 species
AUCAAGGAAAUAAUUGUUCUUAAACUCGAAUAUACUAGAUGAAGUUGCUUAAGCACAAUUUCAGAUUAGUUUUAUGAAAAAGGUAAUUGUAUUCUUUAUCUUUCAAUUUAAUGAAUAGUUUUUAUAUUAUUUGUUUUGUCUAAUAGUUUAGUUUAUAUGUAUGAAAUCUAUUACGCAUGAAACGUUUCUGUUAAUAUUUUUAUAGUGCAUGGGAAACUAUAUAUAAGUCAAGAGCCUAUAAUUUAAAGGGUUCGUAUGUUGCUGUACAUCGCAUUUUAUUUUCGUUUAUUAUUUUGUAAAUUUUUCAUUUUGGGGCCUUUUAUAGAUAAACGUACGGGAUUUACCCUUUGUUGAAGGCCUUACGAUAAUCUAUAGUUGCAAAUGUCUGUGUCAUUUGGUCUCUUGUGAAAAGUUGUCCCAUUGGCAAUCAUACUACAUUUUCUUAUUUUUAUGUUUAUAUCUAAAAUAACUUUUAAAUUAUAUUAAGAAAGGUGUUAAUUUCAUUUUUAUUGCACUGCGUCGAUAGUGUUGCUAGUUGAUUAGCAGAUACCAAAGAUAUUAUCAGCUCAGUAGUCAAUUCUUUGGAACUGAAAUGACUUUGGAUCAUUCCUUUUUUAUUGUUUCAACUUCAAAGUUGACUCAUAUGUAAAUGUAGUUGGCUAUUAUAGUUCAUUUUAGUCACAUAGCACUUUACCUGUUUCGGUGUCGUUUAAAAAACGAUUUUAAGUGUUCCCGAUGAAGGUAAGUUCAGACAAGCAAUGAUUUAUGAAAAAAAAUGUGUUCAUUUAAUUUUCCGUAGCCCCUUAUUUAUAGUUCGUUUAUGGUUGAUAAGAGUAAUCGUAGUCUGUUUCUGUUCAUUAUUGUUAAAUACACUUUUCAAGCCAUUGCAGUUUUUUUUAUAUACAUUUCUAGGAUUAUACUUAUUAGUAAAACAAUAUGCGGAUUCAAUAACAAAUGAAUAUAUUAAACUGUCAAAUGUCUCUCUAUCUGUUAUUAUGCUCCAUUUAUUGGCAUUAUGUUUUCUGGUCUGUGUGUCCGUUUGUCCGUCCGUUCGAUGUCCCACUUCAGGUGUAAGUUUUGGUGGAGGUAGUUUUUGGUGAAGUUGGAGUACAAUCAACUUGAAACUUAGUACAUAUGUUUCCUAUGAUAUGAUCUUUCUUAUUUUUAUGCCAAAUUUAACCCCAUUUUCACGGUACACUGAACAUAGAAAGUGAAAGUGCGGAUCCGUGUACUAUGGACACAUUCUUCUUCUUUAUAAUGCAUAUCAUUAACCUUACCACUUAUACAAUUGAGGAUAGAAACGAAGAAUGUGCCUAAGAGACAACAACACGAUCAAAUAGCAGAAAACAGCUGGGCUACUAAUGGGUCUUCAAUACAGCCAGACAAUCCCUCUACCGGAGGCGUGGUUCUGCUGGACCCUAAACAAAAUUGUGUACUAGUAUGUCAGAAAUAGCUUUAAUGAGAGUGACCUACUUUCUUAAUGGGUCGCAAACUCCUGCUCAAACAUGGAGUAAUUUUGUUCUGACCGAAAAGUAUAACUUAUAAAUAUUUGUUUGAUGAGCAGCUCUAUAUAGGUCAAAGCAAUAAUACCGUAAGAACGAGAUGUAUUAAAAUAGUUGAAAAAAAAUCUAACUAUUUGUUCUUGUAGUACAUAGUUAAUGUAUGCAGAUUGAAUCUUUGAUCGUCAGUAAAGUCAUAAAUAUGCAUGAAAUAUUCGCCACUGGACAUUUGGCAAAAUUAAUUCAGCCAAUCUUCUGAUGGGUCAACAAUGAGUCUUCAACACAGCGAAAAAAUUACGCAUCCGUAACAGGCUUUAGCUGGCCUUCUUAAAACAUGUAUACUAGUUCAGCGAAAACAUACGUCACACAAAACUCAGAAACAUAUAAAAAAAAUACAUACAAGACUCACAAAAGCCCGAGGUUACUGACUUGGAACACGCGCAACAAAGAGGCGGGAUUAACAAUGUUUUGUGAGAUGGCAACCCUCUCCCAUAAUCACGGUGGGUAUGGUUGUCCUGCGAGAGAACGUUCUGUGCUGGUGAUUUGGUCCUGUCAGGUGCUGGUGGGUCCUGAUUCUGUGCUGGUGGGUUUGUUUACAUUGUAUCAAACGGCAAUUAAAAAGACUUUUUGUUGCUUAAUUUUUCUCUGAUGCGUCAUAAGUACCAUGCAAAGUAUAUUACAACAAUAUUAUAUUGCAAAAGUCGUGCAAGUUCCUUAAACGGAAUUGUCCUGACGCUGUGCUGGUGAUAAGAAAAACGGUCCUGGUUCUGUGCUCCUAUGUCCUGGUUCUGUGCCUUUAUAUUUUAGUUAAAAGUGGCAUAUAUUCAAGAUCAUUGAUGCUGUACUGUUAUUGCUAAUUAACUGUUGUCUGCUUUCUUGAAAUUUAUUGUUGAAUCUGUUGUACGUUAUUAUGAGAGAAAAAUACCCCAUUUUUUUUUAUUUUUUUUUAAAUUACUGUAAUUUAUUUAUGGCUGUUAAUCGGAACCUUCUUGCCCGCCUUUUAAGAUAAGAAAUAAUGUUUUGAUUUUCGGAUUACAUCAUUUUGAAGAUCACAAAAUACGUUGUAAUUUUAUACAAUACUUAUACAAUAGAUGAUGGGAUGUUUUGUUGAUGGACAAAUUUCCAUAAAACCAAAGGAAGUAUGUGUUAACAACCAUACGUCAUCGUACACUUCAACAAUAACCCAUAAAAUAAAUUAAAAGUUUGCAUAAAAAUGGAUGAGCAAAAAAUGAUACAAAGGACUUUCGAGCGUUUGAAUCAUAUGUCUUUAGCAGCUUAAAACACAUUUGUUUGUGAAAAAUUGAGUGCUGACUAUAAGAAUGACAAUAGAAUUGCGGGUUUGUUUGUUUGGUUUUUUUUUUUUUGGGGGGGGAUAAUUAGAGCGAGGUUACAUGAAAUUUCUAAGCUUGAAUUUUUCCGUAAUUUUAAAAGUUGUAUUUUAAAAGAAAAAUGUAUCUUAUAGCUAUUAAGAAUCACUUGCUGUAUCUGUAAGAUUUUUUCAACAUAUUUUUUUUGUCUGAACGGUUAUCAGGUAUUUUUUUUCGAAAGUUCGAUAAAACACUAAAAAAAAAUUUACUAUUUUAUGAAAGGGCAGACUAGAAUAUGUCAAUUACAAAAUUUAAACUGAUAUCUCGUAGCUUCAUACUACCAAUUGAGUAUAAAACAAGUAUAUAAGUUUAAAAGUUUUUAGAUAAACACCUACAUUUAACUUAAAAGGUCAUAAAGUUUAAAACAAUACAACUCUACACACCGGUACCGGAGUGCCAAAAAAUUUAAAACUGUUAUCAACCCCGAAUCGCUAUAAGAUCAUAUAUAAGCUCACCUGUUCAAUGGGUCGUGUGGCUUAUUGUAUUGUUUGGUCGUCCCAUUACAAAAAUAUCUUUUCUGAAAUUACUGACCAAUUGUUCCAAAUGAUUUUAAAGAGUGAAUCUAGGAAAAACAAUUCAUCACAACAUGACCACUGUCUGUUCAAUUGUAUUCGAGUUUUAGUACAACCGAUUCCAUUGACGUAUUAGGCAAAUGUAAUAUCUUUUGGUUAGCUGCUUUUAGCUAAACGUGAAGUCAUUGUUAGGUAAGGUUAUACUACCCUCCUUUGGGAAGUAGCCUGGUUCCUACAGACAGAAAGAUGUGUCAUUUGUCGCACUAGUUACUCUUAAGUAGGAUAGUUUACUUAUCCCUACAAUGACUUUUCUGUUCAGCAGCAAGGAUACAAAGAUAUUCCUUUGUUAAGAACACUAAUGAAAUGGCAUUAAUAUUGCAAAAGUUAAGAAUUAGGGCAAAACUCACGAGUAAAAAAAUCAAAAGGCCAAUGCUAUCUACCUUCGACAUUUCAGAAAAUUCAGAUCAGAUAACGAAACUGGUCAGCAACGUUUUAUAAGCCAUUUAAGAUUUUGACCCUCACAGUUUCGGGAUAAGAUCACAAAUAUUCCGUUACAAGAAUCAUGUUAAAUACAAAAUAUACCAGUUGCAGCCUUUUGUUUAUCUGUUAUAUAUGUAUAGGAUAAGUUAUGUAAGGCAGCAGUUUCACCAGCGUGAGGAGUCCAUGUCAUCUGAAAUAAAUGCUAAGCAUAGAUCUAGAAAGCGACAAAUUCCAUCAUGACAUAAAAAAACUCUCUUCUUUUCGUCUUUUCGAACAAAUUGACACAUAAAUGAUUAUAUUAUUUGUGAAUUUUAACUUGGUCAAAUUCAUUGGUUUACACUUUUUACUAGGAUAACAAUCUGUCAGUAUGAGCUGGUAAAAAUUUCAGAAAGAAGAUGGAAAUUUGAAGUUUCCGUGCGUCAGGUGCAACAACAACGAACAGCUAACAUGCCUCGUCGGGUGGAGCUAAAAAAGUUCACAAACAUUUAAUUUUAAAACCUUUAUUCUUCCAACAAAUAUUGAGAUUUUGUUGAGGAUUUCCAACUACGACAACAAGAUUUUUUUUAGAAUUUACAGCUCUUCUAUAAAUAAUGCAAAGCAAACCAUUGAUCAAUUUGCUUGCUAUGUUGUUUGGAUGUUUGUAACGACAGGUAAGUAGUCUGUUUACUAUAACUAGAAUUUGUUGGACAAUAAACAUAACUCCAAUUCCUAUCAGUGUGUUUGUCCAAUCAAAUCCCAGUAUGUAUUGAAACUCCGCCUACCUAUUGUUUGAAAACAUUCAAGCAAACAUAACAAGCAAGUAAUCAAAGUUUUUUUUUGCAUGCUUUUAUAGAAGAGCUGUACUAUAUAAUGCCAAAGAAGCGUUUAAGUUUUCGCAAAAAAUACUAUCAAUUUUUUUUGUCCUAUUAAACUUCCAUACAUUUCUUCCUUCAUGAUCAUUAAAUGAAUGAAAAUAUUUCUUGGUACUUCUUAAUUCCUUAAGUCUUAUGUAAACAUAAUUAUGUUGUGAGCACAAGAUUCACUGACACUUUUAAAGUUCUGCUUCAUCAAACUUAUCAUUGAACCAGUUUUGAUCUUUUUUAAUCGCAACGUAUUGGAUUGUAUAUGAGAACAUGGUUUAUCUAUUAGUUGAAAAAUGCGGCUUUGAACUAGCUUUCAGUACCUGCGAGCAUUCGUUGUUCAAUAAUGUUGUGUUUUGUGUAAUUUAUGUGAUAAUGUUGUAUCCUCAAUUUUUGUUGUGUUGGUACAAUUGUAACAAUGAAGGAGGAAAUGAGCGAGGGUUGUGGUGGAAGUGGGAGGGGUAAUGCGGAGCGUAACAAACAUGUCUAUGCGGCAUGGGCUUUGUUCAUUGUUGAAGUAUCAAUGUAAGGGCAUUUAAUAUCUUAACAAAACUAUCUUAUUUUAGUACUAUAUUUGUUAUCUGAUAUUGGACGAAUGUUGCCCUUUAUUGAUUAUAUAAUACAAGUUACGAUCAUUUGAAAACACAUAUUAACAGCCAAAGGAUGCACAAGACUAAAAUAGGAGUCAUAGAUUCUAUUGACAACAAUUAUCUGCCAAUUUUAUUGAUUUAUACAUUGCAAAUAUGACCAACUCUUACCAAAAUCACCAGCACCGUAUCAGGACCACACGCACAAUGACAGGACCCACCAUCACAGUAUAGGACAUGAAAAUUGAGAAAUGCUAAAUUUUAAUAAAUUGCAAUGUUUUUUUUUCACAAAAUAGUUUUGUCGUGUGGUUGCGGUAUAGAAAGCGGACUCUAUGAGCAUUUGUUUAUUUUUCAGUUCUAGAUUUCUGAAAAUGAGCAUUUUGUGUUCGCUUACUGAAACAGUUUAGAGGGUCAACUUUUAAUGGUUUACAUAUGAACCCAUAAGAAACAAAAUUGAAAAAUCUCAACUGUUUUCUUCCAUUUUUUAUGAGUGAAAACGUCAAAAAUUAUCAUUUUCGUCUUUGUUUACAUUUUUUUAUUGAUCACCAGCACCCGUCAGGACCGAAUCACCAGCACAGAACGUUCUCUCGCAGGACAACCAUACCCACCGUGAUAAUACCUCUAGCAAAUGAGGUAUAAGAAAGCACACAGUAAAACACACAUCGAAAGCCAGUUUAAAAGAAUUGCAAGUAAGAUGUAAAAUAAUGUUUUGGAAGAUGACAAUGAUGAAAAUAAAUUUCCAAAGACUACUAGCAGUUACUGGAAUGCAAGCUUUCAACCUUUUUUAAACUAUUAAACGAUUCUGUCUUUGUUAUAUGAUAAUCAAGUAUAAUUUCUACCGUAAGAGGUUUAACAUCAUACCAUCGUAAAAUGUACGGGAAUGAACAGAACGCGUAUCAUCCAAAUAACUGUUUAUUUAGUAUAGUUUUUCCACUAUGUGUGAAGCAAUAUUAAUUCCGAAAAAAUACAUCUUUAAUGAUUGACAUCAGUAUCGUAACUAUAUCCUUCCUUUAUAAGUCUGUUUGAAGGUUUGGUUAGCUUUUGAGGUGAUUAAUGACAUGUCCGUUCUUUGAAUAGAAUAAUACUACUUUAAAAGAUGGGAUAUGAAAUAUCUGAAUGCAUAAGAUGUCCUCAAAACCUUGCUUUGACAGUGCUCGUUAUAUAAUCACAAAAUGAUUAAAAAAAGUGAAACAAAAAUUACGGACUCCAAUGCUAUGUAAGAGAAGGGUCACAAACGGCAAUCCUCGGUCACAAACGGCAAUCCUCGGUCACAAACGGCAAUCCUCGGGUGAAUCCGCUAUUCUCUUUAAGGAAUCGACCACGUUGUGACGAAUGUAAGGGUAAUUAUCCAUUAAAUCUGACAAACUCAAACGUUAUAAACAACAGAACAGGCGGAAACAUCUGUCAUAUUUCUGACUUGUUAGGUGUUUUCCGAGUAAGCAACAAAACAGACAUAAAAAGCUGAUGAUUACGAUGCAGCAACAAUAGACAUACAACAAAACUAAUCAAGAUAUUCUCAAAAAUAAAAAAACAUACCACUGCGAUCUAUGCGUGUUUGCCUGUCCCGGAUUUGGAGCCUGUGAUUCAGCGGUUGUCGUUUGUUGCUGUGUUACAUAGAUAUACGAAGAUGGGGUAUAAUUGCAAAUGAUACAACUCUCCAUCAAAGUAGGGAAAAAACACUUCAUAAACUAAAGAAACGUCAAAGUACAAGUGAUAAAUCAAUUUUUAAUAUUGUCAAAACCUACUUUUUUUAUGUUUUUUAAAAAAAAUAUAAUCGCUCGCCUUUACUUUUCAAGCUUCGCCUCAAAAAAUUUCAAAUUAAAUAUUUUUUUAUAAAAUUUCAAAUCGCUCGCUCGCCCCAAUUUUUGGAGUCCUUAAAUCCGUAGAACAAGAAAUUGAAUCGGUGUGGCCCAAAGAAAUCCAACAAAUUUGCCAACAAAAAGUUGUUUUAGUUGAUAGUAAAUUAGACAAAGACGCCGGAAUAUACUUGCAAUUGAUACAUGUGAUAGUGCAAAUCGUAUAUAAUAGAGUAAAAAACAAAAUUCUCAAACUAUUUGUGAUUCACUUCCAUACAGUGUCGAUAUUUAACUUUGAUAGUGUUGAUUAAAAACGAUAAAAGAAUUUCUUCUUUUCAAUAAAUAGAAACGUAUUAGAUCCAAAAUUUAGAAAUUCCUCCCACAAAAAUAUAAUCCUUAUCCUAGUACUUAGUUUAAACAAUAUUUAUUCAGAUAAAUCAACAUUAAACAUAUUAUACAAUGAAAUAAUAUUAGGGAUUCAGAAACAAGCAAUUUGCUUUUACAAAUCUGUCUCUCUCUCCUAGUACUUGACAUUAAACACAAAGAUAUUUUAAUUUCAGGGCAUUAUGAUGAAAUUCGUAGCAAUUGAUUGUAUGUUGUUCCUACUUUCAACAUGGUAUGGUUUUCUCAACAGUGAAAUAUGUUCUGGGACAAUCGCCUGUACCUGCAAUAAGGAAACAAAG